rnacentral:rRNA from 1 species
UACGUAGGGGGCAAGCGUUGUCCGGAUUUACUGGGCGUAAAGAGCGUGUAGGCGGCCAACUAAGUCGGAUGUGAAAUCCCCAGGCUUAACCUGGGAACUGCAUCCGAUACUGGAUGGCUUGAAUCCGGGAGAGGGAUGCAGAAUUCCAGGUGUAGCGGUGAAAUGCGUAGAUAUCUGGAGGAAUACCGGUGGCGAAGGCGGCAUCCUGGACCGGCAUUGACGCUGAUGAGCGAAAGCUAGGGGAGCAAACGGG